rnacentral:rRNA from 1 species
UACGUAGGGGGCUAGUGUUGUCCGGAAUCAUUGGGCGUAAAGCGCGUGUAGGCGGUUCGGUAAGUCCGCUGUGAAAGUCGGGGGCUCAACCCUCGGAUGCCGGUGGAUACUGUCGGACUAGAGUACGGAAGAGGCGAGUGGAAUUCCUGGUGUAGCGGUGAAAUGCGCAGAUAUCAGGAGGAACACCGAUUGCGAAGGCAGCUCGCUGGGACGUUACUGACGCUGAGACGCGAAAGCGUGGGGAGCGAACAGG